rnacentral:lncRNA from 1 species
GGAUAUGGAGUGAUGACCACUAAUAUACUUAUCUUGAUACAUUUUGAUGUAUGCAGCCUAUUUGAUGAGCUAAGCAAGGGGUGAUUCUCUUUACUUUAUUACUUAUAUUGAUGAUUGUUCACAGUAUGGGUAUAUGUGUGAGAUAGAAAUUUGAAAUCUUAAAAAAUUUAAAGAAUUCAGAUAUGAAGUAAAGAAAUAAAUUAAAAAAUCCUUAAGAUUCUUUGA